CAGUCGCCGCGGGAAUACGGAGGGGGCUAGCGUUGUUCGGAAUUACUGGGCGUAAAGCGCACGUAGGCGGCUUUGUAAGUUAGAGGUGAAAGCCCGGGGCUCAACCCCGGAAUUGCCUUUAAGACUGCAGAGCUAGCAGGUGAGAGAGGUGAGUGGAAUUCCGAGUGUAGAGGUGAAAUUCGUAGAUAUUCGGAAGAACACAGUGGCGAAGGCGGCUCACUGGCUCAUACUGGACGCUGAGGUGCGAAAGCGUGGGGAGCAAACAGGAUUAGAUACCCCCGUAGUCCCUGUCUCUUAUACC
rnacentral:rRNA from 1 species